UACAGAGGGGGCAAGCGUUGUUCGGAAUUACUGGGCGUAAAGGGCGCGUAGGCGGCCUGCUAAGUCGAACGUGAAAUCCCUGGGCUCAACCCAGGAACUGCGUCCGAUACUGGUUGGCUUGAAUCCGGGAGAGGGACGUGGAAUUCCAGGUGUAGCGGUGAAAUGCGUAGAUAUCAGGAGGAACACCCGGUGGCGAAGGGCGGUUCUCUGGGCAUUACCCUGACGCUGAGGAGCGAAAAGUGUGGGGAGCGAACAGG
rnacentral:rRNA from 1 species